rnacentral:rRNA from 1 species
UACGGGGGGAGCAAGCGUUGUUCGGAUUUACUGGGCGUAAAAGGCGCGUAGGCGGGUAACCAAGUCCGGGGUGAAAGCCUCCAGCUUAACUGGAGAAGUGCCUCGGAUACUGGUCGUCUCGAGGAGGGUAGGGGCAUCUGGAACUAGCGGUGGAGCGGUGAAAUGCGUUGAUAUCGCUAGGAACUCCGGUGGCGAAGGCGAGGUGCUGGACCCUUUCUGACGCUGAGGCGCGAAAGCCAGGGGAGCGAACGGG